AGAGUGUAAUGCAGCCAAGGAUGACUUGCCGGCGGCAACCGAUAGAUAGGUAUGCUCCCUAAUUGCAAGUCGUCGGCGGGUUGUCCUUGGCUACAUUUUGCUCUCU
rnacentral:pre_miRNA from 1 species